CCUACGGGAGGCAGCAGUGAGGAAUCUUGCGCAAUGGGGGAAACCCUGACGCAGCAACGCCGCGUGAGUGAGGAAGGCCUUCGGGUCGUAAAGCUCUGUCAGUUGGAAAGAAAUGCCUGAGAGUUAAUACCUUUCAGGUUUGACGGUACCAACAGAGGAAGCACCGGCUAACUCCGUGCCAGCAGCCGCGGUAAUACGGGGGGUGCAAGCGUUGUUCGGAAUUAUUGGGCGUAAAGAGCGUGUAGGCGGCCGGAUGUGUCAGAUGUGAAAGCCCUGGGCUUAACCCAGGAAGUGCAUUUGAAACUGUCCGGCUUGAGUAGGGGAGAGGGAAGUGGAAUUCCUGGUGUAGAGGUGAAAUUCGUAGAUAUCAGGAGGAACACCUGUGGCGAAGGCGACUUCCUGGCCCUAUACUGACGCUGAGACGCGAGAGCGGGGGUAGCAAACAGGAUUAGAUACCCUGGUAGUCCACGCCGUAAACGAUGUUCACUAGGUGUUGGGGGUAUUGACCCCCUCAGUGCCGGAGCUAACGCAUUGAGUGAACCGCCUGGGGAGUACGGUCACAAGACUAAAACUCAAAGGAAUUGACGGGGGCCCGCACAAGCGGUGGAGCAUGUGGUUUAAUUCGAUGCAACGCGAAGAACCUUACCUGGGCUUGACAUCCACGGAACCUGCUGGAAACAGCAGGGUGCCCUUCGGGGAGCUAUGAGAAGG
rnacentral:rRNA from 1 species